GCGCAAUGCAACAGAGCAGCUGUUGAGUGAAGAAGAAACUUUGUGCCAUCUUGGAUGUUACACAUGGCAGAAUCCACAUGUCACCCCGCUGAGACAGCCCUCGCAGGUUGCAGCUGCAUUGCAAGCCUUCUCUCCACAACACAGGCAUGAGUGAUGCUCUCUCUCUGCCGCGUCUUUGACUGGCAGAAUAAACACUGCUACCACAACAGCAAUGCUGGGAGACAAACUACAAGCAACAACAGAGAGUGAUGAUGUCAGAAACAGUCGUGUGGAGGGACAGGCUCACCAUCUGGUCCCCAGGAGAGGGAGGCACAGCAGUACUCUCACGAUGUACACCCACUCACUAGCCUGCAACACUCACACACACACACACACACACACACACACACACACAAGCCACACUCUCUCGCACACAAAUUUAGGCAAAAGCCAAGAUCCUGCAGUAGCACCUACGUGGAAAAAAAAAACACACAUACACACGCACACACACACACACACACACACACUCACACGGACAGACACCAACACACAUGCUGGCACCAAUAGGAGCAUUCACGGACACCCGUACAGGGACAUGCAGACUUCACCACCCACUCUUUCUGCAGCGUGCGGUCCAUCUGCUCACUGUACCGCUCUCUCCAUGGAUUUAGAUGGUCCAAUAUGGAAUGUGACUUCAUACCAGCUUGCUCUACCUUAAAGUCCCAACAUGUACAGGGUGUCUGAGGCGCACAUACAACCCACUAGAGCCUGACCGAUACAUUAGCAUAGCUACAUUUAUUGGCUGAUUUUAGUUUAGCUCAAAUAUAAUGGCAUCUGUUACUUUGUCAGCCAAUAAAUAAUGAGAAAUUGUGUUACAGAAAUGACAAAUAGAGCUGGUUAAUCCCUUUUUUCUCACAGAAAUGUUCAUUGGAUUCCUUUUAUAUACAGCUCAUAUGUGCAGUCUUGGCCCAUUAUCCAAGUGUUCAUUACAAUUCAUAUGAUUUCAGUCAUCUUUACAGAACUUGUUAUCAAAGUGUUACUGGGCAUGUUAUCAAGUACUCACCACACUGAUUACAUUACAUUGCAUUAUUACAGUAUGAGGUAUUUUCAAGUUCAGAAAAAUCCAUUUGGAGUUCUUGUAACUGACAUUUUGUAGAUCCUACAUUCACAAAUAAUA